GUAUAAGACUAGUUAGUGGCAUAGAAAGUUAGCACUGUAGAGAAAGACUUGGAAAAUACUUGUUUCUUUGAGUAAAAAACGGAUAUCUAACUCUUCUUGUGAGCACAUUGUAAAAAAAAAAAAAGUACAGCUGCUCUCAGGAAAAACAGCAUCAUGGAUAGCGCCUCGUCAAUUGGGAUAGCCGUAGCAUUUGGGAUCUUGGGAUUAUUCGUGCUUAUCUGUUUGGUGCAGAUCUGCAUCAAGAAAAUCAAAUGUUGCAAAAAUCCUUCGGUGAAAGACAAAAUUUUAAAGAAAGUUGGGAUUAAGAAAUCUUCAAGUCCAUUUUCAGUCAGCAGAAUCGUUGACAAGAAGUAACAGCCGUCACUCCUCCUACGACAUUCUCCCUGCCUAUAGAUAGUGUACAUAGACAUGACAGAAUCUAUUGUAGUGCAUUAUUUACAACAUCUGUAACUGUAAUUUUUUCCCAUAUUGUUAUGAAAUUAUUUCUGUGUAAAGUGUGAUUCACGUUUCUGAGGUGAAGGUGUUAGUGAUGGGGAUGUUGAUGAUUCAUAUCUAGAAUAAAAAAAAAAAGUCAAUUUCCCACAGCUAAGGAAAAAACAGCACACCUUUAUUGCUUUUUUGCGAUCGCUUCUCUCGUUGUUUUUCUCAUUUUCUGACAUUCUCUGAAUUUUGUCACCGUACAAGUCUCACCACAAAAACACGACGAAGCCUACUUCUCACGCCAGACUGUUUCCACAUAAAAAUGACGUCAAAGGUACUGAUGUACACAGAAUAUACACUGAUGAAAUAUUAGUCUCCUCGGUCGCAGAAAGGUCACAAAAUAGCCAUUGUGAUUUACAAAGAAAUCAUCUUGGGUGAUACAUUUCCUGUUAAGGUUAUGAA